rnacentral:rRNA from 1 species
AUUGAACGCUGGCGGCAGGCCUAACACAUGCAAGUCGAACGAGUGGCGGACGGGUGUGUAAUGUCUGGGAAACUGCCUGAUGGAGGGGGAUAACUAUUGGAAACGGUAGUUAAUACCGCAUUCCAACGGAUGUGCCCAGAUGGGAUUAGCUAGUAGGUGGGGUAAAGGCUCACCUAGGCGACGAUCCCUAGCUGGGCUGAGAGGAUGACCAGCCACACGGGAACGGAGACACGGUCCAGACGCCGACGGGAGGCAGCAGUGGGGAAUAUUGCACAAUGGGCGCAAGCCUGAUGCAGCCAUGCCGCGUGUAUGAAGAAGGCCUUCGGGUUGUAAAGUACUUUCAGCGGGGAGGCGUUACCCGCAGAAGAAGCACCGGCUAACUCCGUGCCAGCAGCCGCGGUAAUUC